UAAUAAUAAGGCCUUCCACCUGCUGCAUAUGUGGAAGGUAGUACGUGGUGAGCAGAAGUGGUCUGCAUAUCUAGCAAGGUUGAAGAAGGAAAAUGAAAAGAGUGCAAAGGAUAAUCCAGCUCAAGUGGUAAAUUUGGCAUUAGAUGGGGAAAAGCGACCUAUGGGACAUAAGAACGCAAAAAAAAAGAACUCAAGGGCAAAAGGAAGUCAUCUGAUGCUUUGGCUGAUUUUAGUGAAAAAUUUGACAAGUUCAUUGAAACAAGCACCAAGAAUAGGGAAGAUAGAGAGAAGAUGGCUGAAGUUCAGAAAAGUUUGGCUGAUAAAAAAAUUGAAGCAGCUAGGAUUAAUCAUGAAGCAGCCCAUGAACAAACUAAGUGCAAAAUGCUAGAAACUUACACACAGCUCCUGCUUGUGCCUACUGGUCAGCUCAGUGCAGAUGCUUUGGCUGAAAGAAACUUGGCACUAGAGAGCUUGAGACUUACUUUAUUUCCCAAGUAGCAAGUAUGUGCAAAGAAAUGCGACCAUGGAAGCAAUUUCUAUAAGAUUUGCUUGGAGGACUAUGGACAUGAAGUUCUGAGGAGGAUGACGGAAGGCUUAUCAUUAUCUAAAUACUAUUAUCAUCUAUUUAGUUUGCAAUUCAUAUCUAUGUCACUAUUGUUAUAUAUUGUGAUGGAUGACUCGUGGCUGUUCUAAACUACCAUCGAAGUUCUGUUUAGUAUGUUUGGGUUCUGUGACCGGUACUAUGCACUGUUGUGUUUUCGUUUUUUAAAUCUUAAGUGCUUGUUUGGUGUACAGUAGAUCACAUGGUAUUGUGCCACAGCUGAUCAGCUUUGUUUGUGCUGCACAAUAAAUGGUUUUAUGUAUGGAAACUACUAUUACAUACUUUGCA